AAAAGUCUGUGGACUGUGGUGCAGCGGCCAGCGGGCAGCGAGUGACCGGCGAUGGAUCGUCCGUCAACGUCAAGUGAUACUCUCCAAUAUUCGGGGAAUUUUUCCACAUUUUUGGGACGUUUUUGUGAAAAAAGAUGAGCUUUCACUUUAGGGCCAUUUCCGAUCGAGCCGUUUCAGGACAUCCAUAAAGACAGUUGAUACAACUCAUUUUAUUAUUAUUAUUAUUAGAUCGUUCAAGUCAUUCGAUUACUGAAUAAGACAGAAAAAAGUCAUUGAAUUGAUUACAGACGCUAAAUCCAAAUAGAAAAUUAAUAAAUCGGUAAACGAGAGAGAGAGAGAGAGAGAGAGAGAGAGAGAGAGAGAGAGAGAGAGAGAGAGAGAGAGAGAGAAAUAUCCCUCAAGAAAGUGAAAUCUGGUAUAAGCGGUCUAUUAUUGCAAAUUCAUUGCUUUGAAAGAAUCAGUCCCCCUUUAAUAACCAUUUGCAACACUAAAACAAGGGUGUUGGUAUAGUAUCUUGUUUUGUAGUCAAUAAGUAAAUCGAGAAACCAAUAAGUAAACCGAUGACACACUUUUGAGAUUCAUAAUUGUUACAUCAACGCGGUAUAUCUGAGGUAGCUUUUGUUUUAUAGGUCAAUCUAAUCUGUGAUUAACGAGUAUUUAAGAGAAUUUCAAAACGAACUAGAGAUGUGAAAUAUUAUUAUAUAAUAAACUUGUAUUUAGCUGAAAGAGGUAAAUUUUUUCCUUGCGUCGAGUAAGUGUCUUAUCAAUAUGACGCAAAGACGACAUUUUCAAUGAUAAAACUCGUAAACGUUUGAAGAAAAAAAAGUCUUUGUUUGAAGAAAAAAGUUAUUGUCUGAUGAAUGCAGCUGAUAUUUGAUGAAAUCGGUAUAAAUGUUUGAUGAAAUCGGCUAAUGUUUGAAGACAUCUGUUUUAGCGUUUAAAUUGAUUUUAUGGAGACGAAUGCUUUUGUAUCAAGUCAGCUUUAUGGAUGUACGAAACGACUUCAGUUUGAACCAUAACGACUGAGGAGGAGGAGGAGGAGGAGGAGGAGGAGGAAGAACCACCUGGAACCACCUGGAGCCUAAAUACGUCAGCUGACGUCGAGGUUAAAUGCAGUUCAACAUUCAUGGCAUGAGUCGACGAAUGAACUUGGUAGAGCUGAGCAGGACCUGUCUCGACAGAGGAGCAGAGGGGAUGUCUGUCCUCUUGUGGGCUGGAAGGGAUUUUUAAUCACUGUGCCCUGGUAUCCCUUUUUUCAUUCAGGAAAGGAACUGGCUUGUAAACAAGAGUAAUGUAUGCUGACAGAUGUCCAACAAGAGGAGUUGCAAAAUAAAAUAGGUAAGCAUAGGGACGUAUCUAAAUUUGUUUCAGGUAUUCGGGUUUUAAGAAAUUGGA